CCAAUAGCGUAUAUUAAAGUUGUUGCAGUUAAAAAGCUCGUAGUUGAAUUUCGGGGUCAGUAGGUUGGUCAUGCCUCCGGUAUGUACUGGUCUCACUGAUUCCUCCUUCCUGAUGAGCCGUAAUGCCAUUAAUUUGGUGUUGCGGGGAAUCUGGACUGUUACUUUGAAAAAAUUAGAGUGUUUAAAGCAAGCUAACGCUUGAAUACAUUAGCAUGGAAUAAUGGAAUAGGACGUUCGAUCCUACUUUGUUGGUUUCUAGGAUUGACGUAAUGAUUAAUAGGGAUAGUUGGGGGCAUUAGUAUUAAAUUGUCAGAGGUGAAAUUCUUGGAUUUAUUGAAGACUAACUACUGCGAAAGCAUUUGCCAAGGAUGUUUUCAUUAAUCAAGAACGAAAGUUAGGGGAUCGAAGACGAUCAGAUACCGUCGUAGUCUUAACCAUAAACUAUGCCGACUAGGGAUCGGAUGAUGUUAAUUUUUUAAUGACUCAUUCGGCGCCUUACG
rnacentral:rRNA from 1 species